rnacentral:tRNA from 2 species
GGAGAGGUGGCUCAGUGGGUAAGAGCACUGGCUGCUCUGGCUGCUCUCCAGAGGUCCUGAGUUCAAAUCCCAGCAACCACA